UGCCCAGACUCCUACGGGAGGCAGCAGUGAGGAAUAUUGGUCAAUGGUCGGGAGACUGAACCAGCCAAGCCGCGUGAGGGAGGAAGGUACAGAGUAUCGUAAACCUCUUUUGUCAGGGAACAAAGACUGGGACGCGUCCCCGGAUGAGUGUACCUGAAGAAAAAGCAUCGGCUAACUCCGUGCCAGCAGCCGCGGUAAUACGGAGGAUGCGAGCGUUAUCCGGAUUUAUUGGGUUUAAAGGGUGCGUAGGCGGGACCUUAAGUCAGCGGUAAAAUUGCGGUGCUCAACGCCGUAGAGCCGUUGAAACUGGGGUUCUUGAGUGAGCGAGAAGUAUGCGGAAUGCGUGGUGUAGCGGUGAAAUGCAUAGAUAUCACACAGAACCCCGAUUGCGAAGGCAGCAUACCGGCGCUCAACUGACGCUGAGGCACGAAAGUGCGGGUAUCGAACAGGAUUAGAUACCCCAGUA
rnacentral:rRNA from 1 species